UCCCUAGUGGUCCAGUGGCUAGGACUCUGCACUCCCAGUGCAGGGAGCCUGGGUUCAAUCCCUGAUCAGGGAA
rfam:TPA: Bos taurus chromosome 11, whole genome shotgun sequence.